AAAUAUAAAAUAUUCUGAGAUGGAAAAUAUUCGGAGAAGACUAUGAAAGCACCUCUCUGGAUCCUCGAAUUGAAAGAGAGAUUGAGAGGGAUCAAGAAUCCUAAUUCUCCCUAUUUGGAAUGGAUCUAAUUCUAUUGA
rnacentral:rRNA from 1 species